CUAAGUGGCGGACGGGUGAGUAAUGUAUAGUUAAUCUGCCCUUUAGAGGGGGAGUAACAGUUGGAAACGACUGCUAAUACCCCAUACUCCUUUUAUCUUAAUGGUAAUUGGGAAACGUUUUUUCGUCUAAAGGAUGAGACUAUAUGGUAUCAGGUAGUUGGUGGGGUAAGAGCCUACCAAGCCAAUGACGCCUAGCUGGUCUCAGAGGAUGAUCAGCCACACUGGAACUGAGACACGGUCCAG
rnacentral:rRNA from 1 species